rnacentral:siRNA from 1 species
AUUGUUCUUAGUUAUGUGUGCUUA